UACGGAGGGUGCAAGCGUUAUCCGGAUUUACUGGGUUUAAAGGGUGCGUAGGUGGGCCCGAUAGUCAGUGGUGAAAUACUCUCGCUCAACGAGGGAACUGCCAUUGAUACUUCGGAUCUUGAAUGCAGUGGAGGCGGGCGGAAUGUGUCAUGUAGUGGUGAAAUACUUAGAUAUGACACAGAACACCCAUUGCGAAGGCAGCUCGCUACACUGAUAUUGACACUGAGGCACGAAAAGCGUGGGGGAGCAAACAGGG
rnacentral:rRNA from 1 species